rnacentral:rRNA from 1 species
GGGGAAUAUUGCACAAUGGGCGCAAGCCUGAUGCAGCCAUGCCGCGUGUAUGAAGAAGGCCUUCGGGUUGUAAAGUACUUUCAGCGAGGAGGAAGGCAUUGUGGUUAAUAACCGCAGUGGUUGACGUUACUCGCGGAAGAAGCACCGGCUAACUCCGUGCCAGCAGCCGCGGUAAUACGGAGGGUGCAAGCGUUAAUCGGAAUUACUGGGCGUAAAGCGCACGCAGGCGGUCUGUCAAGUCGGAUGUGAAAUCCCCGGGCUCAACCUGGGAACUGCAUUCGAAACUGGCAGGCUGGAGUCUUGUAGAGGGGGGUAGAAUUCCAGGUGUAGCGGUGAAAUGCGUAGAGAUCUGGAGGAAUACCGGUGGCGAAGGCGGCCCCCUGGACAAAGACUGACGCUCAGGUGCGAAAGCGUGGGGAGCAAAC